rnacentral:rRNA from 1 species
GAUGAACGCUGGCGGCGUGCCUAAUACAUGCAAGUCGAGCGAACGGACGAGAAGCUUGCUUCUCUGAUGUUAGCGGCGGACGGGUGAGUAACACGUGGAUAACCUACCUAUAAGACUGGGAUAACUUCGGGAAACCGGAGCUAAUACCGGAUAAUAUUUUGAACCGCAUGGUUCAAAAGUGAAAGACGGUCUUGCUGUCACUUAUAGAUGGAUCCGCGCUGCAUUAGCUAGUUGGUAAGGUAACGGCUUACCAAGGCAACGAUGCAUAGCCGACCUGAGAGGGUGAUCGGCCACACUGGAACUGAGACACGGUCCAGACUCCUACGGGAGGCAGCAGUAGGGAAUCUUCCGCAAUGGGCGAAAGCCUGACGGAGCAACGCCGCGUGAGUGAUGAAGGUCUUCGGAUCGUAAAUCUCUGUUAUUAGGGAAGAACAUAUGUGUAAGUAACUGUGCACAUCUUGACGGUACCUAAUCAGAAAGCCACGGCUAACUACGUG